rnacentral:rRNA from 1 species
UGGGGAAUAUUGCACAAUGGGGGAAACCCUGAUGCAGCGACGCCGCGUGAGCGAUGAAGGCUUUCGAGUCGUAAAGCUCUGUCCUAUGGGAAGAUAAUGACGGUACCAUAGAAGAAAGCCCCGGCUAAUUACGUGCCAGCAGCCGCGGUAAUACGUAAGGGGCGAGCGUUGUCCGGAAUUAUUGGGCGUAAAGAGUGCGCAGGCGGCAAAUUAAGUCAGAUGUGAAAACUAAGGGCUCAACCCAUAGAUUGCAUCUGAAACUGAUAUGCUUGAGUCAAGGAGAGGAAAGUGGAAUUCCUAGUGUAGCGGUGGAAUGCGUAGAUAUUAAAAAGAAUACCGGUGGCGAAGGCGACUUACUGGGCUCAUUCUGACGCUGAGGAACGAAAGCGUGGGUAGCAAACAGG